rnacentral:rRNA from 1 species
UACGGAGGGUGCAAGCGUUAAUCGGAAUUACUGGGCGUAAAGCGCGCGCAGGCGGCUAUCCAAGUCAGUGGUGAAAGCCCGGAGCUCAACUCCGGAACUGCCAUUGAAACUGUUUAGCUUGAGGAUGAGAGAGGUGAGUGGAAUUCCCAGUGUAGAGGUGAAAUUCGUAGAUAUUGGGAAGAACACCGGUGGCGAAGGCGGCUCACUGGCUCAUUACUGACGCUCAGGCGCGAUAGCGUGGGGAUCAAACAGG